ncrna:unclassified sequences Glutamine-II riboswitch (downstream peptide RNA)
GUCCGUUCAUCCCAAUAGGGACGCAUGACAACCUAGCAUGGAACGGGGCUAGG